AGAGUUUGAUCAUGGCUCAGGAUAAACGCUGGCGGCGUGCCUUACGCAUGCAAGUCGAACGCACCCUUCGGGGUGAGUGGCGGACGGGUGAGUAACACGUACGUGAUCUGUCCCAAACUGGGGGAUAACCGCCCGAAAGGGUGGCUAAUACCGCAUGUGGUCCCUGGGUUGCGGCCCAGGGAGUAAAGCUCCGGCGGUUUGGGGGGAGCGUGCGGCCGAUUAGCUAGUUGGUGGGGUAAGAGCCUACCAAGGCGACGAUCGGUAGCUGGUCUGAGAGGACGGCCAGCCACACGGGGACUGAGAGACGGCCCCGACUCCUACGGGAGGCAGCAGCGAGGAAUCUUGGUCAAUGGGCGCAAGCCUGAACCAGCGACGCCGCGUGGAGGAUGAAGGCCCUUGGGUUGUAAACUCCUUUUGGGUGGGAAGAAGCUCUGACGGUACCACCCGAAUAAGCCCCGGCUAACUACGUGCCAGCAGCCGCGGUAAUACGUAGGGGGCGAGCGUUGUCCGGAUUUAUUGGGCGUAAAGCGCGCGCAGGCGGUUCGUUCAGUCCGUUGUGAAAGCUCCCGGCUCAACUGGGAGAGGUCUUCGGAUACUGGCGGACUCGAGGGAGGCAGAGGAAGGUGGAAUUCCGGGUGUAGUGGUGAAAUGCGUAGAGAUCCGGAGGAACACCAGUGGCGAAGGCGGCCUUCUGGGCCUUUCCUGACGCUGAGGCGCGAAAGCGUGGGGAGCGAACCGGAUUAGAUACCCCAGUAGUCC
rnacentral:rRNA from 1 species